rnacentral:rRNA from 1 species
AUUAGACGAAUCAUCUGGAAAGAUGAAUCAAAGAAGGUAAUAAUCCUGUAGUCGAAAAUGUUGUCUCUCUUGAGUGGAUCCUGAGUACGACGGAGCACGUGAAAUUCCGUCGGAAUCUGGGAGGACCAUCUCCUAAGGCUAAAUACUCUCUAGUGACCGAUAGUGAACCAGUACCGUGAGGGAAAGGUGAAAAGCACCCCGGAAGGGGAGUGAAAUAGAACCUGAAACCGUGUGCUUACAAGUAGUCAGAGCCCGUUAAUGGGUGAUGGCGUGCCUUUUGUAGAAUGAACCGGCGAGUUACGAUUUGAUGCAAGGUUAAGCAGUAAAUGUGGAGCCGUAGCGAAAGCGAGUCUGAAUAGGGCGUUUAGUAUUUGGUCGUAGACCCGAAACCAGGUGAUCUACCCUUGGUCAGGUUGAAGUUCAGGUAACACUGAAUGGAGGACCGAACCGACUUACGUUGAAAAGUGAGCGGAUGAACUGAGGGUAGCGGAGAAAUUCCAAUCGAACCUGGAGAUAGCUGGUUCUCUCCGAAAUAGCUUUAGGGCUAGCCUCAAGUGAUGAUUAUUGGAGGUAGAGCACUGUUUGGACGAGGGGCCCCUCUCGGGUUACCGAAUUCAGACAAACUCCGAAUGCCAAUUAAUUUAACUUGGGAGUCAGAACAUGGGUGAUAAGGUCCGUGUUCGAAAGGGAAACAGCCCAGACCACCAGCUAAGGUCCCAAAAUAUAUGUUAAGUGGAAAAGGAUGUGGCGUUGCCCAGACAACUAGGAUGUUGGCUUAGAAGCAGCCAUCAUUUAAAGAGUGCGUAAUAGCUCACUAGUCGAGUGACACUGCGCCGAAAAUGUACCGGGGCUAAACAUAUUACCGAAGCUGUGGAUUGUCCUUUGGACAAUGGUAGGAGAGCGUUCUAAGGGCGUUGAAGCAUGAUCGUAAGGACAUGUGGAGCGCUUAGAAGUGAGAAUGCCGGUGUGAGUAGCGAAAGACGGGUGAGAAUCCCGUCCACCGAUUGACUAAGGUUUCCAGAGGAAGGCUCGUCCGCUCUGGGUUAGUCGGGUCCUAAGCUGAGGCCGACAGGCGUAGGCGAUGGAUAACAGGUUGAUAUUCCUGUACCACCUAUAAUCGUUUUAAUCGAUGGGGGGACGCAGUAGGAUAGGCGAAGCGUGCGAUUGGAUUGCACGUCUAAGCAGUAAGGCUGAGUAUUAGGCAAAUCCGGUACUCGUUAAGGCUGAGCUGUGAUGGGGAGAAGACAUUGAGUCUUCGAGUCGUUGAUUUCACACUGCCGAGAAAAGCCUCUAGAUAGAAAAUAGGUGCCCGUACCGCAAACCGACACAGGUAGUCAAGAUGAGAAUUCUAAGGUGAGCGAGCGAACUCUCGUUAAGGAACUCGGCAAAAUGACCCCGUAACUUCGGGAGAAGGGGUGCUCUUUAGGGUUAACGCCCAGAAGAGCCGCAGUGAAUAGGCCCAAGCGACUGUUUAUCAAAAACACAGGUCUCUGCUAAACCGUAAGGUGAUGUAUAGGGGCUGACGCCUGCCCGGUGCUGGAAGGUUAAGAGGAGUGGUUAGCUUCUGCGAAGCUACGAAUCGAAGCCCCAGUAAACGGCGGCCGUAACUAUAACGGUCCUAAGGUAGCGAAAUUCCUUGUCGGGUAAGUUCCGACCCGCACGAAAGGCGUAACGAUUUGGGCACUGUCUCAACGAGAGACUCGGUGAAAUCAUAGUACCUGUGAAGAUGCAGGUUACCCGCGACAGGACGGAAAGACCCCGUGGAGCUUUACUGUAGCCUGAUAUUGAAAUUCGGCACAGCUUGUACAGGAUAGGUAGGAGCCUUUGAAACGUGAGCGCUAGCUUACGUGGAGGCGCUGGUGGGAUACUACCCUAGCUGUGUUGGCUUUCUAACCCGCACCACUUAUCGUGGUGGGAGACAGUGUCAAGCGGGCAGUUUGACUGGGGCGGUCGCCUCCUAAAAGGUAACGGAGGCGCUCAAAGGUUCCCUCAGAAUGGUUGGAAAUCAUUCAUAGAGUGUAAAGGCAUAAGGGAGCUUGACUGCGAGACCUACAAGUCGAGCAGGGUCGAAAGACGGACUUAGUGAUCCGGUGGUUCCGCAUGGAAGGGCCAUCGCUCAACGGAUAAAAGCUACCCCGGGGAUAACAGGCUUAUCUCCCCCAAGAGUUCACAUCGACGGGGAGGUUUGGCACCUCGAUGUCGGCUCAUCGCAUCCUGGGGCUGUAGUCGGUCCCAAGGGUUGGGCUGUUCGCCCAUUAAAGCGGUACGCGAGCUGGGUUCAGAACGUCGUGAGACAGUUCGGUCCCUAUCCGUCGUGGGCGUAGGAAAUUUGAGAGGAGCUGUCCUUAGUACGAGAGGACCGGGAUGGACAUACCUCUGGUGUACCAGUUGUCGUGCCAACGGCAUAGCUGGGUAGCUAUGUGUGGACGGGAUAAGUGCUGAAAGCAUCUAAGCAUGAAGCCCCCCUCAAGAUGAGAUUUCCCAACUUCGGUUAUAAGAUCCCUCAAAGAUGAUGAGGUUAAUAGGUUCGAGGUGGAAGCAUGGUGACAUGUGGAGCUGACGAAUACUAAUCGAUCGAAGACUUAAUCAA